rnacentral:rRNA from 1 species
GGAAGUAAAAGUCGAACAAGGUCUCCGUUGGUGAACCAGCGGAGGGAUCAUUACCGAGUUUUCAACUCCCUAACCCUUCUGUGAACCUACCUAUCGUUGCUUCGGCGGACUCGCCCCAGCCCGGACGCGGACUGGACCAGCGGCCCGCCGGGGACCUCAAACUCUUGUAUUCCAGCAUCUUCUGAAUACGCCGCAAGGCAAAACAAAUGAAUCAAAACUUUCAACAACGGAUCUCUUGGCUCUGGCAUGAUGAAGAACGCAGCGAAACGCGAUAAGUAAUGUGAAUUGCAGAAUCCAGUGAAUCAUCGAAUCUUUGAACGCACAUUGCGCCCGCCAGCAUUCUGGCGGGCAUGCCUGUUCGAGCGUCAUUUCAACCCUCGACCUCCCCUUGGGGAGGUCGGCGUUGGGGACCGGCAGCACACCGCCGGCCCUGAAAUGGAGUGGCGGCCCGUCCGCGGCGACCUCUGCGCAGUAAUACAGCUCGCACCGGAACCCCGACGCGGCCACGCCGUAAAACACCCAACUUCUGAACGUUGACCUCGAAUCAGGUAGGACUACCCGCUGAACUUAAGCAUAUCAAUAAGCGGAGGA